rnacentral:rRNA from 1 species
GACGAACGCUGGCGGCGUGCUUAACACAUGCAAGUCGAACGGAAAGGCCCUGCUUUUGUGGGGUGCUCGAGUGGCGAACGGGUGAGUAACACGUGAGUAACCUGCCCUUGACUUUGGGAUAACUUCAGGAAACUGGGGCUAAUACCGGAUAGGAGCUCCUGCUGCAUGGUGGGGGUUGGAAAGUUUCGGCGGUUGGGGAUGGACUCGCGGCUUAUCAGCUUGUUGGUGGGGUAGUGGCUUACCAAGGCUUUGACGGGUAGCCGGCCUGAGAGGGUGACCGGGGACAUGGCUCCUGCGGGAGGCACCAGUCUCGAACGGGAGGCAACGGUGGAGAGCAUGACGGAGUGAGGGGAAGUGAGAGACGACGGUGCUCGGAGCGUGAUGACGUGUUUUUGGUGGAGAACAACUUUGUCCGUUAAUGUGGAGUGAGUGACGGUAAUUGGUCAAGAAGCAACGGCUAACUUCGUG